GGAAAUCGACAAACCAGAUGAAAGUCUGGGACGCAAAGCUACUGGGCCUGUAAAAUGGCAGCCAGUUGC
rnacentral:ncRNA from 1 species